AAGUCGUAACAAGGUUUCCGUAGGUGAACCUGCGGAAGGAUCAUUAACACGUAUCCAAACGUUAAAACCCCCCCCGUGAACCUUCAUCCUGCUCUUGUAACCCGAUUCCUGUAGACCGUACAUUCGGGCAAAGGGUCCCCAUGCCCCCUAAUAACCCCACAGUUUAAUGUGAAGCUCAAUGUAAUACAUUGGGUAAGAAAACCGAACAACUGUUAACAAUGGAUAUCUUGGUUCUC
rnacentral:misc_RNA from 1 species